CUAGCCCUAAACGAUGCAGACUAGGCGUCGGCGGUUUAAUCACCGUCGGUGUCCAAGCUAACGCGAUAAGUCUGCCGCCUGAGGACUACGGCCGCAAGGCUAAAACUUAAAGGAAUUGACGGGUCCCCGCACAAGCAGCGGAGCGUGUGGUUUAAUUCGAUGCUCCGCGAAGAACCUUACCUGGGUUUGACAUAACAGUGGUAGAGAAGUGAAAACGGACCGACCCUUCGGGGAGCUGUUACAGGUGU
rnacentral:rRNA from 1 species